rnacentral:rRNA from 1 species
GAUGAACGCUGGCGGCGUGCCUAAUACAUGCAAGUCGAGCGAAGCGGGGACGGGUGAGUAACACGUGGAUAACAUCCUAUAAGACUGGGAAAACUUCGGGAAACCGGAGCUAUCCCGGAAAAUUAUAGAAGGAUCCGCGCUGCAUUAGCGAGUUGGGAAGGUAACGGCUUACCAAGGCAACGAUGCAUAGCCGACCGGAGAGGGUGACCAGCCACACUGGAACUGAGACACGGUCCAGACUCCUACGGGAGGCAGCAGUAGGGAAUAUUCCACAAUGGGCGAAAGCCUGACGGAGCAACGCCGCGUGUGUGAUGAAGGUCUUCGGAUCGUAAAGCUCUGUUAUUGGGGAGGCGUUACCUAAUCAGGAAGCCACGGCUAACUACGUGCCAGCAGCCGCGGUAAUUC